AUGGAAAAAAGCUCUUGGUAUGGAAAGAGUGAGACAGAAAAAAAGAAGAAUAAUUAGAAAGAGAAUGUGGUGAUGGUACAUUUUAGUGACGUAUCCUCCUUUAGUUUACUCUCCAUCUUUUAUGAGGACACACUGAAUUUCAGUCAGGUUUUGAAUAUAAUUGAAUGUAGUAGAAUAGGAAGUUUACUACUCAGGAGUUCAUUAACAAUGACAGCAGCUAAGAAGAAGAAAAUUAAUUCUUCAAUUCAGAUUACCAAUUCUAAAAAAAUGAGCAAGCUAAAAAAUAUCAACGAAAUACAUCACAACUUCUAAUUUUACACGUAGAAGUGUUGAUGCUUCAAGCUAACUUAAAGAAAGGCCCCGGGGAUUAGAAGAUUUGUAGGCACUACCAGGGGAUUAAUAGCAAAAAAAAAAUCUUAGCUCAUCAGCGGGCCCCUGAGAUUAGUAAGACCCAGGGCUUCAUACCAGAUUAGUCCUGGCAUUAAAGCACAUAGGACAUCCAUAUAAUGUUCCGUAUCUAGGAUGAUUGUUACUACUUGUUAUUGACGUUCUCAAACAUGAUUCCAGUACUUUAAAAUGUUUGAAAUACAAUCUGGUUAUGAAAAAAUAGAAUCUUCUUGAACCGUCAUAAGUCAUGACUCAUGGAUUUAUCAACUUGUGUUUAGAAAUUCAUGCAUAAUGAUAAGUACAUAAAAAAGCUCCUUAUUCUCAUAUGAUAUUUGAUCUUAUUAAUCGUGUCUCGCAGUUCUCCAUAUUCAUGUGACAUGGCAAGGACUACUUCUUGUAGUCCUUGGACAUGAUCACAUGAAUCAUUUCCCUGGUCUUAAAUCAUAUAAUACAAAUUCGAAUCUGUUUGUGAAGAACAGGCAAUCAUCAAUAUAUGAUAAUUUCCCCCUAUGGAUUCUUGAAGUAGUUUGGUUAGCCAGGGAUUUCUAUAUGGAAUGCGUUUGCAAGUUGAAGAGUGUGUCUCCUCUCCAAAAGCUACAACAACGUUUCCAAGAACAAAGAUACCUAUAUUGAUAUCGAUACCUUUCUCGAGUUUUUCACCUGUGGCUUUGGUUUUCUUUUGACGUUCAGAUCCUGCAAGGUCAACAAGGUGGAACUUGGCUACAAGAA
rnacentral:lncRNA from 1 species